CCUACGGGUGGCUGCAGUGGGGAAUAUUGGACAAUGGGGGCAACCCUGAUCCAGCCAUGCCGCGUGUGUGAAGAUGGCCCUCGGGUUGUAAAGCACUUUCAGUGAGGAAGAACGCCUGGUGGUUAAUACCCAUCAGGAAAGACAUCACUCACAGAAGAAGCACCGGCUAACUCCGUGCCAGCAGCCGCGGUAAUACGGAGGGUGCGAGCGUUAAUCGGAAUUACUGGGCGUAAAGCGCGCGUAGGUGGCUUGAUAAGCCGGUUGUGAAAGCCCCGGGCUCAACCUGGGAACGGCAUCCGGAACUGUCAAGCUAGAGUGCAGGAGAGGAAGGUAGAAUUCCCGGUGUAGCGGUGAAAUGCGUAGAGAUCGGGAGGAAUACCAGUGGCGAAGGCGGCCUUCUGGACUGACACUGACACUGAGGUGCGAAAGCGUGGGUAGCAAACAGGAUUAGAUACCCGUGUAGUC
rnacentral:rRNA from 1 species